rnacentral:rRNA from 3 species
GUACAACUCUGAGCGGUGGAUCACUCGGCUCGUGUGUCGAUGAAGAGCGCAGCCAACUGUGUGAAUUAAUGUGAACUGCAUACUGCUUUGAACAUCGACAUCUUGAACG